rnacentral:rRNA from 1 species
UGGGGAAUAUUGCACAAUGGACGGAAGUCUGAUGCAGCGACGCCGCGUGGGGGAUGAAGGCUUUCGGGUUGUAAACUCCUUUCAGUACAGAAGAAGCUUUGUUGUGACGGUAUGUGCAGAAGAAGCGCCGGCUAACUACGUGCCAGCAGCCGCGGUAAUACGUAGGGCGCGAGCGUUGUCCGGAAUUAUUGGGCGUAAAGAGCUCGUAGGCGGUUUGUCGCGUCUGCUGUGAAAGACCGGGGCUUAACUCCGGGGCUGCAGUGGGUACGGGCAGGCUGGAGUGCGGUAGGGGUAACCGGACUUCCUGGUGUAGCGGUGGACUGCGCAGAUAUCAGGAUGAACACCGAUGGCGUAGGCAGGUUACUUGGCCGUUACUUACGCUGAGGAGCGAAAGCAUGGGGAGCGAACAGG